rnacentral:rRNA from 1 species
UACGUAGGUGGCAAGCGUUGUUCGGAAUUACUGGGCGUAAAGGGCGCGUAGGCGGCCUUCUAAGUCGAACGUGAAAUCCCCGGGCUCAACCCGGGAACCGCGUCCGAUACUGGAAGGCUUGAAUCCGGGAGAGGGAUGCGGAAUUCCAGGUGUAGCGGUGAAAUGCGUAGAUAUCUGGAGGAACACCGGUGGCGAAGGCGGCAUCCUGGACCGGCAUUGACGCUGAGGCGCGAAAGCCAGGGGAGCAAACGGG